ensembl:processed_transcript
CACAACACUGAGAUGAAGGCAACGUCACCAUGAAAAGUUAAACGUUUAACGUUAAGCUCAGAUUGUGAUGGACCUGGAAUGUGACACCAGAUACUCUUAAGUCAAGAACCAAAUAAAGCACAGAUGUGGAGGGAUCUGCAACUAAACUAACUGGAGGAAAGGAACCUUUAGUGUGGGUGAACAUACUACCUUGAUGUCCAGCAAAGGCUGCACAAGAGCUCAUUUGAUGGCACAUAUUCUGUCCUGUCUACAUCUCUGACGACCUGGAAGUGCUUUGACAUCAGAUCAUCAUCAUGUUGCUGCCCUUUUUCACUGUCCCUUUUCCACAACAUCAUUUGAACUUCAUCAUUUCCUGUCUUGUAGCAGUAUUUUCACCUGUUUUUAAAAUUGUAAUACUUUUUGAUGCAUUAAUUGUUGACUGGUUUUAAUGAUCAAUUGUUCAUUAGUGUUCUGUUGCUUUGUUAUAUUGAAUAAUUGCUACUGUUUCAGUAGGGUUUACACAAUAAACUUUUAUUGUGAA